UACGUAGGGUGCAAGCGUUGUCCGGAAUUAUUGGGCGUAAAGAGCUCGUAGGCGGUCUGUUGCGUCGGCUGUGAAAACCCGGGGCUCAACUCCGGGCCUGCAGCCGAUACGGGCAGACUAGAGUUCGGCAGGGGAGACUGGAAUUCCUGGUGUAGCGGUGAAAUGCGCAGAUAUCAGGAGGAACACCGGUGGCGAAGGCGGGUCUCUGGGCCGAUACUGACGCUGGAGGGUGCGAAAAGCCGUGGGGAGCAAACAGG
rnacentral:rRNA from 1 species